CGAUUCCCCUCCCCCGAUCCACCUUCUUCCCCCGCUGGCGCGGCCCUCCCCCAAUGCACCUUCUUCACCCGCCAGCGCCGCCCUCCCACAAUCCACCUACUUCUACCACCGGCGCCGCUCCACCCGUAUCUGGCUUCUUCCCCCGCUGGCGCCGCAGUUGGCCACACCCCCCGAAGUGAACUGCUCGUGCCAACCCGCCGCCCCUAACUUCCCCUGCUCGAUCUCGCAUCUUCUUAGGAGUACAGUUCGGCUCCCGGCGGGCUGCUGUUGCCCGGCAGCGCCGCCGUGCAGUAUGUGCAUCGCAGCCAUGUGGUUUGCUGGCGACUCUGGACGGGAGAUGCUGCGUACGUGCGAGGUUCAGAAGGCCGUGGCGUGCAGCUCGGAUGGGCUGCAUGCGCGGUUCAGAUGGGCCAGAAGCGUCGUGCCGCUGGUCGCCCCUACCUACCCCAGCGCGGGCCCGGCGGCCUUCCUCCACCGAUGGGUCCACGGGUCUGGUGCGGCCUACCCACCGUCGAGGAGCCCCCCACCCCUUCCUCCCCGCGAGCCCCAUGAUAUCCGUAGCGCCGAUGGGCGUCGGAUCCCUGCAACAACCACCUGGAUCCACCCCACACCUCGCCGCCAUGUCGCGCCGUCGAGACCUCCCAGGUACACCGCGACACCUCACCCAGAAACCGAUGAACUGCAGGCCACCACCCAUGAAGCCGCCGCGGGAGCACUAGUGAGCUGCUCCACAUUUAGUGAUUGACAGAGGUUGGGGAAUAUGCUCCGCCGGGAAUCCGCCGACAAGAUCCCAUCGGUGAGUCACCCAUUGACCCUCUUCUCCUGAUGUGAGUGCGGCACCAGGUGAGCGCCCUUGCAGUUCAAUGCAGCACCAGGUGAGCGCCCUGAGCUCGUUCUUGAAGCCCAUGGAAGAGGUGCAGAUUUGGGUUCCCAUUCUUGCUGACCGCUCGAUUGGCCUCCAUCUUCUGUUACUAUCCCUCUUACAAGCCAAGUACAUUUCGUUUCUGGCUCAACUAGCUCUCUUUUCACAGAUUUUCUUUAUUCUAGACACACGCCAGAGUACAUGGAGACCAAACGCUGAUUUGGGACGUUCCAAGCGCACUAUGUAGUUUACUGAUCUCUUAUUGCAAUUCGAUGUCUGAGUAAUAUAUUUGUCCGUUCACCCUAAAAAAUAUAGUAUAUUUAUGCUAGACAGAGGAACAGAAGUGAACAUUGCAGUAUAUGAAAACAAAGGUAGCAGGGGAUAGAAACAAAGCACGCCGGCUGGAUCCUCCUACACCUCCCUUUCCUGUGCUAGCUGGUCACGGAUCCGGCAAGAUCCUGCACCUCUCUCCUCCCAUGCCUUCCUGGAGAUGGAUAUGGCAUGAUCUUCCUGCAGGUCCUCCCUCUACGGUGGUGUCGAGCUCUCUGCCCUCCCUUUCCUUCUUCCUCCUCUCCCCUCUCUCCUUUCCUUCUUCCUCCUCUCCCCGCAAACUACCUCCGGCGAAGUCCAGUGCAUGUCCAUCCCCGGUGGCUCGCGUGCAGUUCGGCCAGCGAUGGCGUGCAGUAUGACGUACGACGGCAUGCAGUUCCGCGACCCUCACUGGCGUGCAGUGCCACCAGCGUGAAGUGCAGCUCGCCUUGGCGUGCAGUGCAGCUCGCCCUGGCGUGCAGUGCAGCUCGUCAAUGCAUGCGGAAAAAGGAUUUGUAUAUGAAGAGUGUUCAGCGUACUGUUAUCUGGAUGGGAAAGAAGCAAGAAUCGGUUGAUGAUGUUCCCUGUGGUAACACUAUUGCUUUGGUUGGUUUGGAUCAGUUCAUCACCAAGAAUGCAACCCUGACAAAUGAGAAGGAAGUUGAUGCCUGCCCAAUCUGGGCAAUGAAGUUCUCUGUGUCCCCUGUUGUGUGUGUGGUUGUUCAAUGCAAGGUGGCUUCUCAUCUUCCUAAGCUUGUUGAGGGUUUGAAGCGGCUGGCGAAGUCUGACCCUAUGGUUCUCUGUAGCAUUGAAGAGUCUGGUGAGCAUAUCAUUGCUGGAGCUGGAGAGCUUCACCUUGAAAUCAGUUUAAAGGAUCUGCAGGAGGAUUUCAUGGGUGGUGCUGAAAUUAUUGUUUCACCUCUUGUUGUCUCCUUCCGUAGAUAACUAAAAAGAAUGAUGGCCAAAAAAACGCAUUACACUUUUUAUGU
rnacentral:rRNA from 1 species